UGAAAGCAUCUAAGCACGAAACUUGCCCCGAGAUGAGUUCUCCCUGACUCCUUGAGAGUCCUGAAGGAACGUUGAAGACGACGACGUUGAUAGGCCGGGUGUGUAAGCGCAGCGAUGCGUUGAGCUAACCGGUACUAAUGAACCGUGAGGCUUAACCUUACAACGCCGAAGGUGUUU
rnacentral:rRNA from 1 species